UACACACCGCCCGCCACACCAUGGGAGUCGUUUGCUCCAGAAGUGGCUGCGCCAACCCGCAAGGGAGGCAGGUCCCCAAGGAGUGACCGGUAACUGGGGUG
rnacentral:rRNA from 1 species